rnacentral:rRNA from 1 species
AGAGUUUGAUCCUGGCUCAGGACGAACGCUGGCGGCGUGCCUAAGACAUGCAAGUCGUGCGACUCUCUGGAGCUUGCUCCAGAGGAUAGCGGCGGACGGGUGAGUAACGCGUAGGCAACCUGCCCACAGGACCGGGACAACAGGACGAAAGCCCUGCUAAUACCGGAUAGGCACCAGGCUCCGCAUGGAGCUCGGUGGAAAGGGGUAACCCACCUGUGGAUGGGCCUGCGUCCCAUUAGCUUGUUGGUGAGGUAGCGGCCCGCCAAGGCUUCGAUGGGUAGCCGACCUGAGAGGGUGACCGGCCACACUGGGACUGAGACACGGCCCAGACUCCUACGGGAGGCGAC